rnacentral:rRNA from 1 species
GUUACACGAGUGGCGAACGGGUGAGUAACACGUGAGUAACCUGCCCUUGACUUUGGGAUAACUUCAGGAAACUGGGGCUAAUACCGGAUAGGAGCUCCUGCUGCAUGGUGGGGGUUGGAAAGUUUCGGCGGUUGGGGAUGGACUCGCGGCUUAUCAGCUUGUUGGUGGGAUAGUGGCUUACCAAGGCUUUGACGGGUAGCCGGCCUGAGAGGGUGACCGGCCACAUUGGGACUGAGAUACGGCCCAG